ensembl:ribozyme RNaseP_nuc Nuclear RNase P
ACAGAUAGAAGCUUGUCAACUGAAUGUGUCAUGCCACUCUCCCCUGACCCCCAUCCCUUGUGAAGGUUUGAGACUAGGGCCAAAGGCAGCCCUAACCAGGUCUUCUCAGAGCUGAGAGGCAAGUUCUCAACGAAUGGUGCUUUAUGCUAGGGAAGAUGGGUGGAGGUGCAGUAAGAGGAUGCCUUCCUCCCCAUAGCUUGGAGCAGAACAGACUUCAUUGCCAUAGGGAAAUGGCCUUUGUGGUGGUUAGGGUAUUGCCUCAGCUCUGUUAACCUAACAUAGAAACUCUCUCACAGA